UACGUAGGUGGCGAGCGUUAUCCGGAAUGAUUGGGCGUAAAGGGUGCGUAGGCGGUUUUUUAAGUUAGUGGUUAAACGUCGGGGCUUCACCUUGAUUUGCCAUUAAUACUGUAAGACUCGAGUUCAGACGAGGUAGGCGGAAUAAGUUAAGUAGCGGUGAAAUGCUUAGAUAUAACUUAGAACUCCGAUAGCGAAGGCAGCUUACCAGACUGAGUCUGACGCUGAUGCACGAGAGCAUGGGUAGCGAACAGG
rnacentral:rRNA from 1 species